AUGUACAUUUUAUUUAGUGAUCUCUAUAUUACGCACCAGAGUAACGGGAAGACCCAAAGACACAGCUGGGGCUGGAAUCUUAGCACAAAAUUGGACAAAGAGCCGCACCCUGUGAAAAUGACCAAAACAGUGAAAACGACCAAAACAGUGUGGUUAGACCAGGGCAGGCACGCGGCGCAGGACCAACAGACAGAGAAGGCUCACGUGCGCAGGGUCCCUUGGCCCCCCGCCUCCAAGCUCUGGUUGCUGCGGACAGCAAUGGCUUCUUCCGGGCGGGGGGGGGGCACAGGAAAGGGCACGUCUCACCUGCUCUUUCAAGGUAAAAAAGUGGAGGAGACAGAUGACUUCUUGCAGCUGCAGUCUUCAAGUGUCUUCGGCUCAAAAGCGAUCCACAUGGCAAAGUGGUGUGGCGUAGGGGGUUGCGCUCAGAAGCCCCCCGAGCCCCGGCACCUUCCACCUGGCCCUGCUCGCAGGGACAGAAACCCACGCGAGCAGCGGCGAGCCCCGGUUGGUGCCCGUGAGCCUGUGCUUCAGCAUUCCCCUUUUACAGACAGGGAAACUGAGGCAGGAGAGGGCCGGUGGCUUCUGCAAGCUCGCAAGGCUGGCACCUGCCGGGGGGGAACCUCAGCUCUCCCGCGCGGCUGGCUCAAGCCCUGGCUUUGUCCCGCAGAGCCUAAGCAACAUCCGCGAAGCAUCAGAGCUGCCCACCGCGGAGAGGAUCGCGGAGUGCCACCAGGACAUCACCGAGCUGUUCAACGCGCUCAUGACCCUGGAGAUGCAGCUGGCGGAGCAGCUGGAGGAGACCAUAAGCAUGUUUGAGAGGAACAUUGUCGACCUGGUGGGGCUCUUCAUUGAGAACGUGCAAAGCCUGAUGGCGCAGUGUCGGGACCUGGAGAACCACCACCAUGAGAAGCUGCUGGAGAUCUCCAUCAACACCCUGGAGAAGAUGGUCAAGGGCGAGCCGGACGAGGACCUGCCCGACGACGUGCGAGCA
rnacentral:lncRNA from 1 species